rnacentral:rRNA from 1 species
UACAGAGGUCCCAAGCGUUGUUCGGAUUCAUUGGGCGUAAAGGGUGCGUAGGUGGCGCCGUAAGUCGGGUGUGAAAUUUCGGAGCUUAACUCCGAAACUGCAUUCGAUACUGCGGUGCUUGAGGACUGGAGAGGAGACUGGAAUUCAUGGUGUAGCAGUGAAAUGCGUAGAGAUCAUGAGGAAGACCAGUGGCGAAGGCGGCUGCCUGGCCCAAUACUGACACUCAGGUGCGACAGCGUGGGGAGCAAACAGG